UGGGGAAUAUUGCACAAUGGGCGCAAGCCUGAUGCAGCCAUGCCGCGUGUAUGAAGAAGGCCUUCGGGUUGUAAAGUACUUUCAGCGGGGAGGAAGGCGAUAAGGUUAAUAACCUUGUCGAUUGACGUUACCCGCAGAAGAAGCACCGGCUAACUCCGUGCCAGCAGCCGCGGUAAUACGGAGGGUGCAAGCGUUAAUCGGAAUUACUGGGCGUAAAGCGCACGCAGGCGGUCUGUCAAGUCGGAUGUGAAAUCCCCGGGCUCAACCUAGGAACUGCAUUCGAAACUGGCAGGCUAGAGUCUUGUAGAGGGGGGUAGAAUUCCAGGUGUAGCGGUGAAAUGCGUAGAGAUCUGGAGGAAUACCGGUGGCGAAGGCGGCCCCCUGGACAAAGACUGACGCUCAGGUGCGAAAGCGUGGGGAGCAAACA
rnacentral:rRNA from 1 species